GGGAGUGUAUACUCAGUGGUAGAGCACAUGCUUAGCAUGCAGGAGGUCCUGGAUUCAAUCCCCAGUACCUCCA
rfam:Camelus ferus unplaced genomic scaffold scaffold678, whole genome shotgun sequence.